AAAAAAAAAAGCAAUUUAAUUUCUAUAGUUGAUACGCAUGACGUCAGCAAUGUCAAGGUCACGGGUUCGAUUCCAAAACACAUAUUGAUAAAAUGUGCACUUUAUGCACUGCAAGUUUCACUUUUGGAUAAAAGUCUGGCAAACGAAUAAAUGUACUUUGAAGGCACGAGCAGAUCCUCUCAGAACUAGACACGAGUCUAUAUCACACUGGCUCUCUCAGAGGGACGGAGACUGGACAGAAAGGCCCUCGCACCGAACCGCAGGACUCUGGUGUAGCUGCCCGGCUAACUGCGCCCUUGCCCCGGUGAAUAAACGGACAGCUCCGCGCUGAUACACUCACCAGAUAUAGAGGUGCAUAUAUCUUGAAGGAGACCUCCAG